CGGGUGUCGGCGAGUAGCGCACGGGUGCGUAACGCGUAGGAAUAUACCAUAUAGUAGAGAAUAACCAUUAGAAAUGAUGGCUAAUACCCUAUAGUCCCUUCGGGGUAAAGAUUUAUCGCUAUAUGAUUAGCCUGCGUUAGAUUAGCUAGUUGGUGAGGUAAUUGCUCACCAAGGCUACGAUCUAUAGCUGGUCUGAGAGGAUGAUCAGCCACACUGGGACUGAGACACGGCCCAGACUCC
rnacentral:rRNA from 1 species